GGGGAUGAUCGGCCUCGAAGCGAAAAAGCAUUUUUGGGUGAGAUCGAGGAGCCGUUACCUCGUAAAUCAGCGGGCAACAAAAACUGCCAACUUUGGUAGAAAUUUGGCUUUUGCAUUGGCAUAAGCCCAUCCGAAUAACUGAUGCUCGAUAGGUUAUGAGGGUGUCAAAUUAUCGAGCUUGGCUCUUUCUAGGUGUCUUUAGCUAGAGGAGCAACCUAAGACUAAGGACAGGAGUUAAUAAUUUUGCCGAUUUUAAUAUUAACUCUUAAAAUAAAUCGGCUGACUGUCUCAAAAGCUCAAAAAUCAACUUUUUUGCUCACGCGGGUUCGAUUCCCGCCAUCUCCACCG
rnacentral:tmRNA from 1 species